GGAGAUAUAUUUACGGAAUACCAAGUGGAAAAAGCAGGACACAGAAUUAUAUUUAUACUACAAUUAUAGCUGUUUAAAAAUGUAUGCUUAUAGUCAAAAGCUGUGGUGGUGCUGUUGUAGGCUUAUAGUUGAGCAUUAUUUUCUUAAAUUCCUUGAAUGUUUAUGGUAGUGUUACUCAAAAGCUUAUAAUCACGUCUCCAUUGUGAACAUAAUUUGAGCUCAUUAUUCAGGCACUCAGAGAAUACAGAAAAGUGGAGGGAAAAAAAUCCAUAUACCCACCAUCCAAAGAUGACAGAUAUGCUCCUCACUACAUUGUUUAUUCUUCUUUCUGUGCACAGGCUUAUAACUGUGUCCCAAACGUGUACUCAGAUUAAGUGUUAGCUUUGUGGAAUUAUGGUUAAACGCUUUCAUCCUAAUGUUUUCAGAUGGCCCUUAAAAUAGUUUCCUGAUAACAAAGUAUAUUCUGCUUGCUUCAAUUAGCAAGCAUAAUACACACCCAGAGGAAUAAUUGGAAAAUACAAAAUAAAUGAGAAAAGAACAAAAAAAGUCGCCCAUAUUCCCAACGCCCAACAACUACUGUUAACAUCUUGUUUCCUCCAUCUCGUAUCAGUGCACAAGCUUGUGAUUUAUGACCGUGGUGAAUAUGUGUGCAUACAGUCUAAAAUGAAAAAAAAUCACAGAAAAUAAUUAAAGUAGUGUUGUCAUUGUGGGAUUAUGGUUAACUAUCUUGUCUCAAAUUUCUUGAAUGAUCUUUGGUGUUUUGAGUAUUAAAUCUUAUGUAUGUUUUUCCAUUAAAAUUCUUAAUACAUACUCAUGGCAUACCUUGGGGGAGAUUUAGUAAAGCAAAAGAAAUUCACGCAUAUUCCUGACACCCAACAAUCAUUGCUGUUAAACCUUGAUCUGUGCACAGUCAGGACGGGGGUGUCUGUGGUGAGAAUGCAGAGGGUUGAAGAGGAGAAGAAAGCAGUGAAGGAACGGUUAACAUCUGGACACGUUUUCUUCAUCUUGUCUCUGUGCACAGGUUUUUGGUUUGUUAGUAUGGUUGUGGUCGUUCUAUCUGUAAUCGUGUCACCAAUAAAAAUAAAGUUGAAAAUAAGAUAGCUCUCAGCCUCUUCUUUUGUCCAUUUGAAGUGUUCGGGGUGUUUAAAAAAUAUGAGCACUUAGUGUCCCCCUUAGGCCCUACAAAUCUCCUCCCUUUUUAAAUUAUUGUGUAUUUCAACAGCACACUUCUAAGGGAUCUCAGUACUACACAAAGCCACAUUUGUAACUGCACUAAUAAAAUUAAAAGAUGAUACAUAUCAAUAGUGUUUUUAAACUUGACAUUAAGCGUUAGGUAAGUUUUACUUACUCUGAGUCUGCAUUUAAAAUUUUAAUCUCAUCUAAAUACAAUACUCCCUCAAACACAAACAAGAAUGAUCCCCGCAACAUAAAAAGAAUGUUCGUACUGUGAUUUGGAAUCCCUUUGUAUUCAGUCGUGUCUGACUGUGACCCCAGGGUCUGCAGCCCACCUGGCUCCCGUGUCCAUGGAGUUCUUCAGGCAAGAAUACUGGGGUGGGUUGCCAUUUCCUCCUCCAGGGGAUCUUCCCAACCCGUCUCCUGCACUGUAGGCAGCUUCUUUACCAUGUGAGCCGCCAGAAGACCUAUUACAUAAAGUGUGUGUCCCUAACUCCCCUGAAGCCAAAUGGAUCUGUCUGAAGGUGCCUGACCAGCUCUCGAGUCACAGCUUCAAUAAUCCUUCCAGGGGUGUCCAAGAUCGUCAGGGCAAGGGGUCAGUUCUCUUUUAAGGCUGACUUCCUGCAGAGUUCAUCACUAACAGACAACCUGUAGGAAGGGAAAAGGUGAGGGUCGCUGGGGCUUGCCUGGCCAGCGCUUGCCCUCUCAGACAGCUCCCCGGUGCCCCUGCCACACGCUUAUUCCCCGAGCCAGACCCCUCCCUGGCCUCAGCUGACUAUGCUCCUGGGUCCCCGCGGUCCCGUCAGACCCAGACCAGGGGCCGGCCGGUGUGCCAGGGAGGCUGGGCGCCCGGCGCCUGGGGCUCUUGGUGGCACUGCCCUGUGAUCUUCCUAAGAACGCCUCUCCCACGAGCUGACUUUGUCAGCCAGUUCUUGGUGUUUUCC
ensembl:lncRNA